GACUCCUUCUUAAAGGAGUGGCCAGACAUAGCACUUGACAGAGAUUUGUGGAGACAUUGGGGGGAGGCCUUUGCCCAGCAGUGGGACACGACAGGCUCCAAAUAAUAAUAAUAACAAUUCGUUAUUUACGAUACAAGUGCGGAAAAGAGGAAAUUCGAACGAGUGGCGAUAAAUUAAAACACGACCGAAGGGAGUGUUUUAAAUCCACACGAUUUGCAAAUUACCUAUUCGCACGUGUAUCGUACAACGUUUUACAGUACAUGGCCCUUUAAGCUUUUGACAUACGCACGAAAAGUGCUAUUUUACGCACUAGUGCGGGAAAAUAGGACCAUAAUUAUAUACUUUAAAUGAUAUUUUUAUUAUUAAUUUGUAUAAAUGAAUGUCAUUAGUCAUUGCCUACAUUAAAUGUACUUAAUCUAUGCUUCCAUAAAUAUAUUUACUAUCAUUAUCAAUAUAUUACAAGACGUUGCACAUA